rnacentral:ncRNA from 12 species
AUAAUGAUGAAAUUCAUUGGUCCGUGUUGCUGUUUUGUCACUGAUGAUUACCAUUCCUGAUUAAA